rnacentral:rRNA from 1 species
GACGAACGCUGGCGGCGUGCUUAACACAUGCAAGUCGAACGGAAAGGCCCUGCUUUUGUGGGGUGCUCGAGUGGCGAACGGGUGAGUAACACGUGAGUAACCUGCCCUUGACUUUGGGAUAACUUCAGGAAACUGGGGCUAAUACCGGAUAGGAGCUCCUGCUGCAUGGUGGUGGUUGGAAAGUUUCGGCUGUUGUGGAUGGACUCGCGGCUUAUCGGCUUGUUGGUGGGGUAGUGGCUUACCAAGGGUUUGACGGGUAGCCGGCCUGAGAGGGGAACCGGCGACAUGGCGACUGAGAGACGGACCAGAAUCCAACGGGAGGCAGCAGUGGAGAAUAUGGCAGAACGGGCGGAAGCCAGAGGCAGAAACGCUGGGAGCGGGAUGACGGGCUUCGAGGGGUAAACCGCUUUGGCAGGUGACAAAGAGUGAGUGACGGUAAUGGGUAAAGAAGCACCGGCUAACUACGUG